GCGGCCUAGCGCUUGAUUGGAGGUAUGGCCUCUUAAUCCGUUGGUCGAAGGUUCGAAUCCUUCAGGGCCCACCA
rnacentral:tRNA from 1 species